rnacentral:piRNA from 1 species
GAAGAUGGAGCAGUUGCUAGAGACGAUGGU